UUACUGGGCGUAAAGGGCGYGUAGGYGGAWUGGUCAGUCAAGGGUGAAAUCUACSRGCUUAACYCGGGAAUUGCCYUCGAUACUGCCAUUCUUGAGUGCAGGAGGGGGAAGUGGAAUUCCUGGUGUAGCGGUGAAAUGCGYAGAUAUCAGGAGGAACACCGGUGGCGAAGGCGGCUUUCUGGCCYGAUACUGACRCUGAGGCGCGAAAGCGUGGGUAGCAAACAGGAUUAGAUACCCUGGUAGUCCACGCCGUAAACGAUGGGUACUAGRUGUWGGAGGAAUUGAUCCCCUCUUUGGCCGAACCUAA
rnacentral:rRNA from 1 species